GGUUAAUACCCUGAGUAGAUGACGGUACCCGAAUAAGAAGCACCGGCUAACUACGUGCCAGCAGCCGCGGUAAUACGUAGGGUGCGAGCGUUAAUCGGAAUUACUGGGCGUAAAGCGUGCGCAGGCGGUUUUGUAAGUCAGAUGUGAAAUCCCCGGGCUCAACCUGGGAACUGCAUUUGAGACUGCAAAGCUGGAGUUUGGCAGAGGGGGGUGGAAUUCCACGUGUAGCAGUGAAAUGCGUAGAGAUGUGGAGGAACACCGAUGGCGAAGGCAGCCCCCUGGGCCAAUACUGACGCUCAUGCACGAAAGCGUGGGGAGCAAACAGGAUUAGAUACCCUGGUAGUCCACGCCCUAAACGAUGUCAACUAGGUGUUGGGAGGGUUAAACCUUUUAGUGCCGUAGCUAAC
rnacentral:rRNA from 1 species